AUGACCUGGGCGCGGACGCGGCUGUCCACGCGGCUCAUGAACGUCUGCCUCGCGGCGCUCUGCCGCGGCGGCGGCCUCGCCCGGGCGGAGUCCGUCCUCGUCGACGCCAUCCGCCUCGGCAUGCCCCCCGACGUCGUCACCUACAACACCCUCCUCGCCGCGCACUGCCGCGCCUCGGGCCUCGACGCGGGGUUCGCCGUCCUGCGCCGGAUGCGGGAGGCCGGGGUGAGCCCCGACGCCGUCACCUACAACUCCCUUAUCGCCGGCGCCGCGCGGAGGGGGCUCACGAUGCGCGCCCUCGACCUGUUCGACGAAAUGCUCCAGGCGGGGGUCGCCCCCGACGCCUGGAGCUACAACGCGCUCAUGCACUGCUUGUUCCGGUCUGGCCACCCGGAGGAUGCCUACCGGGUGUUUGCCGAUAUGGCCGAGAAGGGCGUCGCGCCGUGCGCCACCACCUACAACACACUCCUGGACGGGCUCUUCAGGUUCGGUCACGCGACGAACGCGUACAGGAUGUUCAGGUACCUGCAGAGGACGGGGCUCCCGGUGGGCAUUGUGACUUACAACACGAUGAUCAAUGGGCUGUGCAAGUCAGGCAAGGUGGGGUACGCCCGCAUGGUCCUCAGGGAGCUUGGGAGGACCGAGCAUGCCCCGAACGUCGUCACUUACACGACGGUCAUGAAGUGCUGCUUUAAGUACGGCAGGUUUGAUCAGGGGCUGGAGACCUUCUUGUCAUUGCUGGACGGAGGGUACAUUCCAGAUCUCUUCCCAUACUGCACGGUGAUUAGUGCGUUAGUCAAGAAGGGACGGAUGGAAGAAGCCAAUACCUACAGUGAGCUAAUGAUACGGAGUGGGUUCAGGCUUGACAGUGCAUGCUAUAAUACGCUGAUUUACCUGCGAUUCCAGGAAGGGAAGCUGGAUGACGCGUUUGAGCUGCUGAGUAUGAUGGAAGAGGGUGGUCUGGAGAGUGAUGAGUACACAUUCUCAAUUUUGGUCAAUGGUUUGUCCAAGAUGGGGCAUUUCGAGGCUGCACAUAAGCAGUUAUGUUACAUGGAGAUAAGGGACAUGGAAUCAAAUAUUGUUGCUUACAAUUGCUUGGUGGACGCACUCUGCAAAUCUGAUGAGGUGGAUGCAGCCAUCAAAUUACUUCACAACAUGAAACUGAAGGAUGAUUUUACUUACACAUCACUAGUCCAUGGUCUAUGUAAGGUGGGUAGGUAUCAUAUGGCAUCCAAAUUCUUGCGGAUCUGCUUGCGUGAAGGGAACAGUGUUCUUGCAUCUGCAAAGCGUGCUGUCAUCGCUGGCCUUCGUAGUGCAGGGUUUCAGAAUGACGUGAGGAAAGUUCGGGCAGCAUUACGUAUGGCUAGGCUGUUAAAACCAUAA
rnacentral:rRNA from 1 species